rnacentral:rRNA from 1 species
GAGUUUGAUCCUGGCUCAGUCGUGCGAACUCUGCGUAGUGAUUAGAUGCUUACAUCAUGAUUUACAUUUGAGUGAGUGGCGAACUGGUGAGUAACAUAUGGGAAACCUGCCCAGAAGCGGGGGAUAACACCUGGAAAUAGAUGCUAAUACCGCAUAACAACUUGGACCGCAUGGUCCGAGUUUGAAAGAUGGCUUCGGCUAUCACUUUUGGAUGGUCCCGCGGCGUAUUAGCUAGAUGGUGGGGUAACGGCUCACCAUGGCAAUGAUACGUAGCCGACCUGAGAGGGUAAUCGGCCACAUUGGGACUGAGACACGGCCCAAACUCCUACGGGAGGCAGCAGUAGGGAAUCUUCCACAAUGGACGAAAGUCUGAUGGAGCAACGCCGCGUGAGUGAAGAAGGGUUUCGGCUCGUAAAACUCUGUUGUUAAAGAAGAACAUAUCUGAGAGUAACUGUUCAGGUAUUGACGGUAUUUAACCAGAAAGCCACGGCUAACUACGUGCCAGCAGCCGCGGUAAUACGUAGGUGGCAAGCGUUGUCCGGAUUUAUUGGGCGUAAAGCGAGCGCAGGCGGUUUUUUAAGUCUGAUGUGAAAGCCUUCGGCUCAACCGAAGAAGUGCAUCGGAAACUGGGAAACUUGAGUGCAGAAGAGGACAGUGGAACUCCAUGUGUAGCGGUGAAAUGCGUAGAUAUAUGGAAGAACACCAGUGGCGAACGCGGCUGUCUGGUCUGUAACUGACGCUGAGGCUCGAAAGUAUGGGUAGCAAACAGGAUUAGAUACCCUGGUAGUCCAUACCGUAAACGAUGAAUGCUAAGUGUUGGAGGGUUUCCGCCCUUCAGUGCUGCAGCUAACGCAUUAAGCAUUCCGCCUGGGGAGUACGGCCGCAAGGCUGAAACUCAAAGGAAUUGACGGGGGCCCGCACAAGCGGUGGAGCAUGUGGUUUAAUUCGAAGCUACGCGAAGAACCUUACCAGGUCUUGACAUACUAUGCAAAUCUAAGAGAUUAGACGUUCCCUUCGGGGACAUGGAUACAGGUGGUGCAUGGUUGUCGUCAGCUCGUGUCGUGAGAUGUUGGGUUAAGUCCCGCAACGAGCGCAACCCUUAUUAUCAGUUGCCAGCAUUAAGUUGGGCACUCUGGUGAGACUGCCGGUGACAAACCGGAGGAAGGUGGGGAUGACGUCAAAUCAUCAUGCCCCUUAUGACCUGGGCUACACACGUGCUACAAUGGAUGGUACAACGAGUUGCGAACUCGCGAGAGUAAGCUAAUCUCUUAAAGCCAUUCUCAGUUCGGAUUGUAGGCUGCAACUCGCCUACAUGAAGUCGGAAUCGCUAGUAAUCGCGGAUCAGCAUGCCGCGGUGAAUACGUUCCCGGGCCUUGUACACACCGCCCGUCACACCAUUAGAGUUUGUAACACCCAAAGUCGGUGGGGUAACCUUUUAGGAACUCAGCCUCGUAAGGUGGGACAGAUGAUUAGGGGAAGUCGUCAACAGGACCCAAGUGC